GAAUCACAUCAUCAGAUCUUGCUACUAGAGCUUUGGAAGCAAAGCGUGCCAAUGUAGUCGGACAAGCCUUGGCUGGUGUUCCCUUGUGGCAGCUAGGUCCUGAAAGUAGGCAUCCAGGUGUUCCUUAUAUUGUUUUCCCAGGUAAUGUUGGUGACAGUACUGCAUUGGCAGAAGUCGUAAAAAGUUGGGCUUGUCCAGCUAGAUUUGCAUCAACAAAAGAUCUCCUUCUUAAUGCGGAGAAGGGUGGAUAUGCUAUUGGAGCAUUCAAUGUUUAUAAUCUGGAAGGAGUUGAGGCAGUUGUUUCUGCUGCAGAGGAAGAAAGAAGUCCUGCCAUUUUGCAGGUGAGAAGUUGGUGUAGAAGUUAGAUACAUAAUG